AAGUCAUCAUCAAGUGUGACUUCAUAUGAAUCAUCUUCAUGUUCAUUUUUUUUCUCUUCUGCAUGUUCUGAUUCUGAAAUGACUGCUGCCCUCUUCUCAUUAUGCUGCCUCACUUGCUCUUCUAAGCGACCUCUCUGCCAACAUUAAACAUUGACAACUCUAUCUUAAACCUAAUUAGAAGCUUCACAAAGUACCAAAAGAGGGAAGCAAAGUAGCGUCACAACCCAAGCCUACGUUAAUACUGGCCUAACAAGUUCAGCAGGCUUAGCCCAAACCACAUGGCUUCCCCAGUCAUUUUUAGUAGUUCACACAGGCCAUUAAUACAGACCAUAGUCUACUUCAAAUAUGGGAUUUGGAGUGUUACAAGAGAAAGGGAGUAAUGCAUGGACAUAAAUGUUGCAUGCUGACUUCAAUUUGGGUAAUAGCAGUACAUGGAAGACGUAUAAGACAGCAUCAAAACAGCAGCAAAAUAACAAUGAGUUCAGUACAACCAAAUGUUCAAGUUUGUCAAUAAGGUUUAUGACACGUCUCCAAAGUACAUAUUACAUUCUUCUAAUCCGCAAAGAUAGUUUUUCUGCCAAAGGAAGAACACUAAGGAGCAUGAAAGCUAAAUGCAAAGGUUUUACAAUUAACAAAUGGUUGACAUAUCUUUCAGUUAAUUUAACCAGACAAACAAAAGCUAGCCACCACUAUUCAUAUUGUGAAUUGUUCCCCAUCUUGGAAAUCUUCUACUCCAUUCUACUAAUUUCAUCUCCAAAAAGGUUUCAAAUAAAAAAUUUCAUCUCCAAAAUGUGAAGGUCAAAGCCUAUAGGUCUUUUCCAUACCAACUAAAAAAGAUAAAAGAAAAAUGAUCUGAUACAAAGCAAACCAAAAAGAAGACCAGGAUACAGCAAGUGUGAAGGCAUGGAAAACAUCAGUUAUAUGCCACCUUCAAUCCCAAGUCCCAACAGCAGUCAUAGCUUGAACAAUGAUCAUUAGAGAGAAUCAACUCAUUGUGAAAAACUUGUCCCAAAAAAAAAAAUUAUAUAUUCAGAUAAUGAUAGAAGCAUAACUUAAAAGUUAAAUGGCAAAAAGGUAACUUUUGGAACAAAAUAGCACAUUGACUUCUUGCAUAUAGAGGGUGUAAGGAGGGGAAUGCAAAAUAAAGCAUCCACAAAGUGUGCAAGCACUUACCUGAUCCAUAGGAUCAGUCAAUUCGGAAAAUGCAUUGGCCAGUUCACGACCACAGAUGAAGAGCUCAAAUCUCUCAGUCAAGCCAAUGUGCCUGUCAUGAAGGAAUAACAAGAUUACCAAAAAGAAUGAAAAAGAAAAAAAAGAAAAUCAAAAGAGACAGCAGCAUUCAAGGGCUUCAAAAUUAUAGCAAUCAGUAUUGUUUUCAACCUCAACUUUUUUUCUUUUAUUUUACAUGGGUUUUACUCCAAAAUAUUAGCACAUGACAUUUUAAUCAUAAAGGUAAAUUUCUAUCUGGUAAUACAGAAGUAUAUGUAGCAUAGAUAACAGAAUCAAAGCAUACAAGUUAAAUAAGACAUGCAGAAGAAAUGUGCUACUAGUGCCACAACUUCAUAGAAUCCACUCCAUUUUCUAAUGUCCUCUGCAUCAGGGACAAGCUGAAGUUUUGGAAAAUACACCAAGAUAAUUAUGAAUUAAGAGGGAAAAGUUGGAUGACAACACCAAAAGCAGGUGUAUAAAAUGUGAAACAUUGGCAACAAAUACUAGUAUAUUUCAGUACAAUGAAAAUGGAAGAAAUUCCCCUGGUAAAUUUUUUCUA
rnacentral:misc_RNA from 1 species